GUCUACCAGAAUCUGAUGGCAAAAAAAAGGGAAAAAAAAUAGCGAUUUUCAUAUGGCAACAAAAAAAAUAGCAUCUGUCAAAACUGAAAUUUCGAGGAAUUGUUUUUAGUUUGGCUUCAAAUUUCCUAUAAAGAGUGGUUUAAAUGUUGAAGAAACCUCUUCGAUCGCAAGCAAGAAAUAUUGUUUUCAAUGUUUAUCAAAGACUACUUGAUGAACAAGGUGCAGAACAAACACAAUCAUCGACAUUGAGCCAUGUGCAAGCGUUGACUGGUGUUUCGAAUACUACCAUAAGACGAAUUGUUGCUGAAGGCAGAUCUAACAGAAGCGUAUUUAUUACGCCCGGUAAAAAGAAGAAAGGUGGCAAAAAUACUGCGCUUCCUCUUCUGAUGAAGACUUUUUUAUGGAUGUGCUGUAUUUGGGUCCAUUUUCAAGUUCUGAUUAGGGAUGUAAACCGGUUCGAAGAAAACCGGAGAAAAAACGGUUUUUAUACAUACCGAUAAAACCGGUUUUUAUUUAAGAAUACCGGUUUUUAAUUACGCGUUACAUUCACAGUUUACACCAGUGCUACCAGAUCAAAUAUACAAGCUACCUCAAUCAAAUAUACAAAAAACCGUGUUUCAGACUCAAAUUACCGUGCAUUGCAUUUAAAAACUACAGUGCAAUAACCACAAUAUGGUUGGUAGACUUUUAGCGUACGAAAUGACGACCGUGACCCAAAUAUUCACAUAUCUGCACCCAACACUCAGAAAUGGCUUUCGCCAACCAAAGCACAUUUUGUUUUCAAAAGAGAUGGUGCGUCGUGAACUGGGGAAUCUUCUUAAAGAAUUUUCAAUUCUCGCUUUAUCAUCGGAACAGCCAAAAGAAACCACAAACAAUUUUUAAAAACCUGGUUGUUAUUCUGGAUUUUUUGCGUUCCUGAAAACGGGAUAUUCCGAACGCCACGGCGGCCGCAGUGAAUAUAGUGCGAAUGUAUAUUGAGGCUGAAGCCGCCACAGGAAACCACACCGAAAUUGCUGGCACUUUUUGGAUGAGCAAUACUCAUUUGAGGCCUUUGCACAAAAUAGUAAUUAAAUACCUAUCAGUCCCACCAACUUCUGUGCCUUCCGAACGUAUGUUUUCGACGUCGGGGUACGUGCUAAUAUCCAGAAGGAGCAGGCUUCUGGGUGACGCAGUGGACCAACUAUGCUUCUUGCAUCAAAAUUUUGAUUGAAUACAAUAGUAUUAAAUAAAAAACAAAAA